UUGGAGGGCAAGUCUGGUGCCAGCAGCCGCGGUAAUUCCAGCUCCAAUAGCGUAUAUUAAAGUUGUUGCAGUUAAAAAGCUCGUAGUUGAAUUUCGGGGUUAGUAGGUUGGUCGUGCCUCAGGUAUGUACUGAUCUCACUGAUUCCUCCUUCCUGAUGAACCGUAAUGCCAUUAAUUUGGUGUUGCGGGGAAACUGGACUGUUACUUUGAAAAAAUUAGAGUGUUCAAAGCAGGCUUAUGUCUGAAUACAUUAGCAUGGAAUAAUAAAAUAGGACGGUGGUCCUGUUUUGUUGGUUUCUGAAUCACCGUAAUGAUUAAUAGGGAUAGUUGGGGGCAUUAGUAUUCAAUUGUCAGAGGUGAAAUUCUUGGAUUUAUUGAAGACUAACUACUGCGAAAGCAUUUGCCAAGGAUGUUUUCAUUAAUCAAGAACGAAAGUUAGGGGAUCGAAGACGAUCAGAUACCGUCGUAGUCUUAACCAUAAACUAUGCCGACUAGGGAUCGGAUGAUGUUAAUUUUUUAAUGACUCAUUCGGCGCCUUACGGGAAA
rnacentral:rRNA from 1 species